rnacentral:lncRNA from 1 species
CGCCCCCGUUACGCCCUCCUAUAAAUAUGCAGAUUUAUUUAAAUAGGGUCUCCCUGUCCUCGCACGCAGACAAAAUGACAAGAAAAACUAAAUUUACGGCGUGCGAGGUGGAGGUGCUGGUGGCGGAGGUGGAGGAGCGACAGCGUGUUUUGUUUGGCAGCCUGUCCAGUGGCGUCAGUGCAAAACGAAAAUGCUUGGAGUGGGAGAAAGUUUGCGAGAGGGUGAACGCACCCCCGUGGAGAUUUAAAAAAAGUGGUCGGACCUCAAGGUGGAGGUCAAGCGGCGUACAGCUGCCCUCCGGAGGAGUACCGGCCAGACAGGUGGGGGUCCGGGGGAGGAGACCCUCACGCCGUUUGAGCAGCGGGUGGUGGCGAUUAUUAUUAUAGGGUAAGUGGCGUGUCACACAAAUGUCCACAUGCUUUGCCAUCCCACUGAGCAAAAGACGUAUAUUAGACGUCUAAUCUAAGUUUAUACUUCAUUUCAACGUCGGGAUUCAGUCUAGUUUUAAACGUGAUUGAUACUUCGCCUUUAACUUCAUUUUUCGAUAACUUUUUAUGCAAUAAACAACUGUAAUGUGCAUAACUGACCUCUAAAUACUGGAUUACAUUACCUAUGAUACCGUGGAGAGAGAUGUAAACGCAACAGAUACACAGAAGCAGGAAUUGAAAUGAACCAAUAUUUUUAUUGUGUCACAGAAAUCAAUGUGUCGGCCGUGUCGCCGGCUUGCGGAACCCCGGCCCGCGGCAGCCCGUCCGCCGGCUGGGAGUCGUCGGCCAGGACCAGCGGCAUUUGGGCCACCCCGGCCCCAGCCCCAGCACCAGCAUCAGCACCAGCGCGCCGACAAGCGGUGGAGCGUCCACCAGCCGCGGCGCUUCCGCUGGACCACACGGACGCAGUGGAAGGGUCCUCACGGAGGCGGUCCUGCAAUCGCAGGAAGAAAUCAUCGGGGGGAUCGCGGGGAUCAACGAGCGGCUGGACCGGCUCGUAAAUGUCCUCGAGCGUCUGGAGGCGAAAAAUAAAUUAAUUUGGCUCAUUGAACUGUGUAUUCACUUCUUACCCAUUCACACUGUGGCGAUGAGAUUCUCCCGCGCGAGGACGGCGGCCCGGCAGGGAUCAGCUCGGAUCCCUCCGUCUACAGCUGGUUUGUCAUGUGGGGCGACGUGCUGCUCGGCCACGGGGAUGUGGUGCACGCUUGUCACAUAGUGAGUCACCAAACACCGCCACACAGCGUCGCCAAAGUGGCGUCAACGCAAGUAUCGGCUCAACGCCAACUUCUACACCACCUCCUCACUUUGCGUUGAUUAGCGCUGGAACCGAUGCUCGUGUCGCAAUGAUAAAUCUGGAUGUGUGCGCCGAUCUUGGCGGACGCAAGGUUUUCUGGCACCGCCAGCGUUGAUACAUGAGGCCCCAGCAGACUGCAGCAUAGAACAGAACACUUGACACCACAGACUGAUAAAACAUCUGCAGCAUCUUACUACAGAUGUCUAUUGAUCGGAGUCUUCUCAGGCAAAAGAGGUGGCUCUGCCCCUUUCUGUAGAUGAAGUCUAUAUUCUUAGACCAGUCCAACUUAUUAUCCAGAUGUACACCUAGGUAUUUAUAUGAUGUCACCACUUCGAUGUCCACUCCACAGGUGUUCACUGGCUGAAGAGGGGGUUUGGAUCUUUAAGUAUGGUGGGUUGGAUGGUGCUGAAUGCACUUAAAAAGUCGAAGAACAUGAUCCUCACAUAAACCCCAGGUUCCUCCAGAUGAGACAGGGCACGGUGAAGCAUGUAGAGGACAGCAUAAUACACUCCAAUGUGUUCCUAGUGUGCUAACUGCAGGGAAUCCAGUUUGUCUUUGACCUCAGAACUUAGAAGGCGUAGAAUCAGCCGCUCCAGGGUUUUCAUGAUGAGUGAAGUGAGGGCCAUUGGUCGGUAGUCAUUGAGUUCAGCAGGACAUUUUGUUUUUGGUACUGGCACAAUGCAGGAUGUUUUCCACGGAGUAGUUACCCGCCCCAGCUGUAGACUCAGGUUGAAGAUCCUGUGGAGAGGUUGACACAGUUCUGCCGCACAGUCUCCAAGCAGCCUUGGACACACACCAUCUGGACCAGCUGCAUUCCCAGGACAAAGUCUUCCAAGCUCCAUCCUCACCCCUGUUUCGAUGAUAGACAAGGACUGGUGUUCUAAGAGGGAGGCAGUUGAAGUGGUUGAGACAUUGAAAUGAGAUGGAGGAGGAACGGGAGAAGUUGUAGUGGAGAUUUGUUUCGGAGAGGAAGGUGGAGUAGCAGUGGAAGUGGGUGUGACAGCAGUGUCAAAUCUGUUGAAGAACAGGUUGAGUUCAUCAGCUCUUUCCAGAUCACCCACCACUGGCUGUCUUUUCUUUUUAUUGCUGUGUCCAGGGAUGGUACUGAUUCCUCUCCACACUUCACGGAUGUUGCUGUGUUGUAGAUUCUUCUCUAUCUUUUUUUGUACGCCAGCUUUGUUAUCUUCAGUCUCCUAUUCAACUCUUGUUGCACUUGUCUGAGUCGUUCUUUGUCUUUGUCUUUAAAAGCUUUCUUUCUCUGGUUAAGGAUUGUUUUUAUGUCUCUUGUGAUCAAGGGUUUGUUGUUGGGGAAACAGCGAACAGUUUUUGUGGGUAUAACUGUGUCUCUACAGAAGUUGACAUAAUCAGUAAAGCAGUCAACCUGUUUAUUAAUGUCCAUACUAUCCACAUCUUUUUCCAGCAGCACAUCCCAGUCUGUUGAUUUAAAACAGUCUCUUAGAGCUUCACUGGCUUGAGGUGUCCAUCUUCUUAUUUUGACUUUGGUCACAGGCUGCCUCAGCACGCAAGGUCUGUAACAGGUUUGCAGAUAGACCAAGUUAUGAUCUGACUUGCCCAGUGGUGUUAAGGCAGUGGCCCUGUAGGCUUCUUUAACAUUGUCAUACAGCAGAUCCAGGGUUUUGUUUUCUGUGGUAGGACAGUUCACAAACUGUGUGAAUCCAGUCAAGUGAGAUGAGAGUGUGACAUGGUUGAAGUCUCCCGUAUUGUUAUCAGUGCCUCAAGGUGUUGAGUCUGUAGCCUGGCAACACUAUUUUGCAAAACAUUGCACAAAAUUUCUUCAGUUGAUUUGGGUGAAAUGUAGACAAAUAUUGUUAUGAUAUGAGUAAAUUCUCUUGGAACGUAAUAUGGCCGAAGAGCAACUGACAACAGUUCAAUAUCUGGACAACACAACUUCUCCUUGACAGUUAUGUGUGAACGGUUACAGCAUCGCUGGUUGACAAAUAAAGCCAGACCUUCUCCUUUCUUCUUGCCACGAGCUGGAGCAUUUCUGUCUGACCUUAUGAGAGUGAAGCCAGGGGCCUGUUCUACGAAGCACGUUCGACCUAGCGAGGUAGCCUUGGAGGUACCUCGCUCAAUGUAGCGCGGUAGCCAGUGGUCUUGCUAAAUGGUUUUACGACGCUGGUUAUCAACCUCGUAAAUUGAUCCGGCUUUGCUAUGAGCGCGUGCACGCAUGUAAGGCGGAGCCCGCCACACCUGACCAAUCGCGAACAUGGACCAGUUUGCAGUGUCAGAGAGCAGACCGGAGAGCGAAGGACCGCGGACUUUACAAACGAGGAGCAGGAGAUGAUCAUGAGAAAGUAUGAAGAAUUCAAAUCUAUCAUAAACCUCAAAAGCAACACCGUCACCGCUGCAUUACAAGGGUUAUUACAAGGGCCGUGCGCUGCGACUAAAUAGUACCGAAAUGUUGUCUGUGAUCACACAGCCCAUGCAGCCCAUGCCCAUUUAUUUCCAAGAUGAAUUCAUUUAUUUGUUCAUUCCUAUCGUGUUUACAUUUUUUGUGUGAUAUGUAGGCCAUAUGAGCCUUUCAUAAAGGUGGUAAAGGAGCUGGAGUGCUUCUCGGACGAUGCGAGCACCGAGGUCUAUAGGAUCCUCCAAGAACGGACAAGCCAUUUUUCGAGAAAGCUCAUUGGUCAGUGGGCGGGGUUUUUAUACUCUGUGAGUUCAAUCUGGAACUUAACCGUUUAGCGUAUGUUGCCAUGGAGACUCGCCUCGCUAAGAAGUGAACCCGCGUCGUAGAACAGGAAACCUCGAAGUUACCCUCGAAGUUACCUUGCUAAGCAGUAAUCCUGCUUCGUAGAACAGGCCCCAGGUCGAUCCACACUGGAGUCCAAGUUGUUUUGAUUCAACCAGGUUUCAGUAAAACACAGGAAACUGCACUCACGGUAUGCUUUCUCAGUCUUCACCAAUAUCUCCAGCUCAUCCCUUUUGUUGGGCAGAGAGUUGACGUUUCCCAUGAUGAUUAUAGAAAGGGUUUAUACCACCUCCUAGCAUUCAGCUUUGCCUUCACCUUUGCACCAGCACGGCAACCAAGAUAACACCUCCUUCUGUCCUCUGGAAUUGUAUGUUGUUGUCCAGAUUUGCUUUUCCUCAAUGAAAGGAGCUCUUCUCUUGAGUAAACUCUUCACCCAACAGUAGUAUCCAUCAGCAGCCAACAAAAUGACAACAGAAAAAUGAAAAAAAAUCUAGCAAAAAUUACAAAAAUUAUAGAUAAUGCAGAGAGAACAGACAGCAGCAACCUCUCGGUUCAAGUGCAUCAUUUGAAUUUUAAAGCAUCUGUACUAAAAACAAAAGAAACUAGAGAUUAGUUCAACAUUUUAUGAACAUACAAAGUAAAUAAAGCAAAUUGAAUAAGAUAAACUUAGAAAAAUAUAUUCAUUAAAAAUAUUUUAACUCAACAGCACAACAAAUGCAGAUAAGUACUAAAUAAUAUAGUGAAUUAGUUUACAGUCCUGAGUGUCGCUGCAAGACCCCUGCAAGAGAUAAUGAAGACCCCUAAAAAUGUAAACAUUAGAUGAUGUAAAUGUAGAUGAUAUGAUUGAUUGCUGCUUUCGUCUGGUGGCUGCACCGCUAGUUGUGGCUAAACUGCUAAUGCAGCUUGUGCCAUCAACAGUGACAGGCUGUGUGUACUCCACUCGCAUUUUCAUGCUUUCAGCAUUAACUCUCGGGAAAGUACUUCUUCAUAUGAUUGAACAGACCUGUUGUGUUGCUGGUUUUGGUGGGCGCCGAUUGCGACAUACCUUGCACAUCAGCUUAAAUGCUCGGCGUCACUCUGGAGAUACCAGAACCACUGCCACACAACCGACGUUGAAUAAUUUCUCAACAAUAACAUCUUUGGAGAAUAACUCAAAGUCACGGCUGACAUCUAUUUUGCUGCCCUCAGCACCACGUUUAGCUCCAUUUUCGGUCAUUCUGUUUACUUCUCCUGUUUACUUCUCUGACAAUUUACAGAAGUGAGCAGGAAAACCUCGACUUUGAUAGGCUGUAAUGACGCACCCUUCUGCUAUGUUUGAUCGAGUAAAUAUGCUCACAGCUGAUCACCGUGAUGGAACUGAAAUUUAUCACGAUCAUAUAAUCGCUCAGUCCAACCUAGGGCUGGGUUUUCUCUUUUUCUCACUGACAGUGCUGUCGGCUUCACAUGUUAAAGUGCUAUGGUUGCGUGUAGCUGCAGCCUGCUUCUGCUGUUUAGUACUUGGUUCUAAUUCAGCACGGUUGGUUCAGCGCAAAGCGGACCCGGAGCAACUCUCCUUUUAUUGGCUAUUGGUAUAGUCUACCUAAACAUGGCAGAAUGCCGAUUAUUGAAAAGCAUAUUGACCAAGUUUUAUAUCUAUAUCAAGGGAAGUUAAUUUUCGAUAUACACUCACCGGCCACUUUAUUAGGUACACCAUGCUAGUAACGGGUUGGACCCCCUUUUGCCUUCAGAACUGCCUAAAUUCUUCGUGGCAUAGAUUCAACAAGGUGCUGGAAGCAUUCCUCAGAGAGCUUGGUCCAUAUUGACAUGAUGGCAUCACACAGUUGCCGCAGAUUUGUCGGCUGCACAUCCAUGAUGUGAAUCUCCCGUUCCACCACAUCCCAAAGAUGCUCUAUUGGAUUGAGAUCUGGUGACUGUGGAGGCCAUUUGAGUACAGUGAACUCAUUAUCAUGUUCAAGAAACCAGUCUGAGAUGAUUCCAGCUUUAUGACAUGGCGCAUUAUCCUGCUGAAAGUAGCCAUCAGAAGUUGGGUACAUUGUGGUCAUAAAGGGAUGGACAUGGUCAGCAACAAUACUCAGGUAGGCUGUGGCGUUGCAACGAUGCUCAAUUGGUACCAAGGGGCCCAAAGAGUGCCAAGAAAAUAUUCCCCACACCAUGACACCACCACCACCAGCCUGAACCUUUGAUACAAGGCAGGAUGGAUCCAUGCUUUCAUGUUGUUGACGCCAAAUUCUGACCCUACCAUCCGAAUGUCGCAGCAGAAAUCAAGACUCAUCAGACCAGGCAACGUUUUUCCAAUCUUCUAUUGUCCAAUUUCGAUGAGCUUGUGCAAAUUGUAGCCUCAGUUUCCUGUUCUUAGCUGAAAGGAGUGGCACCCGGCGUGGUCUUCUGCUGCUGUAGCCCAUCUGCCUCAAAGUUUGACGUACUGUGUGUUCAGAGAUGCUCUUCUGCCUACCUUGGUUGUAACGGGUGGUUAUUUGAGUCACUGUUGCCUUUCUAUCAGCUCGAACCAGUCUGGCCAUUCUCCUCUGACCUCUGGCAUCAACAAGGCAUUUCCGCCCACAGAACUGCCGCUCACUGGAUAUUUUUUCUUUUUCGGACCAUUCUCUGUAAACCCUAGAGAUGGUUGUGCGUGAAAAUCCCAGUAGAUCAGCAGUUUCUGAAAUACUCAGACCAGCCCUUCUGGCACCAACAACCAUGCCACGUUCAAAGUCACUCAAAUCACCUUUCUUCCCCAUACUGAUGCUCGGUUUGAACUGCAGGAGAUUGUCUUGACCAUGUCUACAUGCCUAAAUGCACUAAGUUGUCGCCAUGUGAUUGGCUGAUUAGAAAUUAAGUGUUAACGAGCAAUUGGACAGGUGUACCUAAUAAAGUGGCCGGUGAGUGUAUAUCGUUAUCAUUUUAUCGCCCAGCCUUAGUCCUACCCCUUACCCUGUAUAGAGGAGCUGUAAGCGACCCUUAGUGGAGGGAAGGUUUUCUCAAAGACUGACUUAGCGGCAGCUUAUCAGCAGGUUUUACUUGAUAAGGACUCCAAGAAGUACACAACCAUCAACACCCACAGGGGACUGUUUGUGUACAACAGACUUCCUUUUAGGAUUAAUUCAGCCCCAUCCAUCUUCCAAGAGAUAAUGGAAAACGUAGAAUAGAAUAGAAUAUUCCUUUAUUGAUCCCCCAUGGGGGAAAUUUUUUUGUCACAGCAGCAUCACAAAGAGUGCAAAAAUGCAGUUAUAAAAAUAAAGAUCCUAAUAUUAAGAACUUAAAUAAAUGUAAUAAUUAAGAAAAAUUUCAGAAAAAGGAGAAAAGAAGAAGAAAAAUAAAACUAUCUACAAUAAACACAAUUUAAAUGCCAGAAAAAAAGUGUUGGUGUGAGUCCAGUUAUUAUUACAGUUCGUUGUAAAGUCUUAUCGCAGAGAGGAGGAAUGACCUGCGGUAGUGCUCUGUCUUGCAAGGUGGAAGUCUCAGUCUGCUGCUGAAGGAGCUGUUUAAAGCCCCCACAAUCUGGUGCAGUGGGUGAGAGGGAUUGUCCAUGAAGGGUACAAGCUUUGUUAACAUCCUCCUCUCACCCACAUCUUCCAGGGAGUCCAAAGAACAGUCCAGGACAGAACUGGCCCUCCUGACCAGUUUAUUCAGUCUCUUCCUGUCCCUCUCAAUGCUCCCUGCCCCCCAGCAGACUACUACAUAGAAAAGUGCAGAUGCUACCACAGAGUCAUAGAAAGUCCUGAGCAGAGUCCUGCACACUCCAAAGGACCUCAGUCUCCUCAGCAGGUGGAGACAACUUUGGCCCUUCUUUUACAGGACGUCUGUGUUGGUUGACCAGUCCAGUUUAUUGUUGAGGUGGACACCCAGGAAUCUGUAGGACUCCACCACCUCAAUGUCCAGACCCUGGAUGUUCACUGGAACAGUCUGAGGUGUCCUCCUCCUGCGGAAAUCCACAACCAUCUCCUUUGUCUUACUGGCGUUGAGCUGGAGGUGGUUUGUGCCACACCAGUUGACAAAGUCACUGAUGACAGUCCUGUAUUCCCGCUCACCCCCUAACGAUACACAUCCGACGAUGGCUGUGUCAUCAGAGAACUUCUGGAGGUGACAGCUCCCAGAGUUGUAGCUGAAGUCCGAGGUGUACAGGGUGAAGAGGAAGGGGGAGAGCACUGUCCCCUGUGGAGCCCCCUGUGCUGCAGACCACAACGUCUGAUACACAGUUCUGAAGCCUCACAAACUGUGGUCUGUCGGUGAGGUAGUCCACGGUCCAUGCGGCUAGGUGACAGUCCACUCCCGCCCUCUCAAGCUUCCCCCUGAGCAGUGAAGGCUGGAUGGUGUUGAAAGCACUGGAGAAGUAAAAAAACAUGACCCUCACAGUGCUGACGGUGUUCUCCAAGUGAGCCAUGGACCUCUGCAGCAGGUAGAUGACUGCGUCGUCCACCCCAAUGUUCGGCUGGUACACAAACUGCAGAGGAUCCAGAUGAGAGCUCACCAGGGGGUGGAGGUUCCUCAGCACGAGCCUCUCCAGAGUCUUCAUCAGGUGAGAAUUGAGAGCCACAGGUCUGAAGUGGUUGGGCUCCCUGGGGUGUGCUGUCUUGGGGACAGGAAUCACGCAGGAAGUCUUCCACAGUGCUGGGACCCUCUCCAGACUCAGGCUCAAGCUGAAGAUGUGCAGUAGCACCUCACAGAGCUGGGGUGGGGGUGGGGGGGGUGGAGGAUGAGUGGAGGGGGGUUGAUGAUGCCGGUGCCAUGGGACUGAGGUGGUGUGAAGAAGAAGCAGCAGAUUUGGUUUGAUGAGUUGGGGGAGGAGUGGGAGCAGAGUCAAAUCUAUUGAAGAACAGAUUCAGUUCAUUGGCCCACUCCCUGUCUCCUGCUUCAGGUCCCCUCUCAUGGCCCCUGCUAUGACCUGAGAUGGAUUUCAGGACUCUCCAGACCUCCCUUGCAUUGUUCUGUUGCAGAAGGUUUUCCAUCUUGGUCUUGUAGCUGGCCUUUCCCUCUCUGAUCUUCUUCUUCAGCUCCUUCUGCACCCUCCUCAGCUCCUCCUUGUCCCCAGAUUUAAAGACCCUCCUCUUCUCCUUCAGGAGGACUUUAAGUUCCGGCGUCACCCAAGGUUUGCUGUUGGAGAAACCCCGUACUUUCCUGGUGGGUAUGGUAUUCUUAACACAGAAGUUUAUAUAGUCCGUGAUACAGUCUGUCAUGGUGUCGAUGUCAUCACCAUGUGGGCCGAACAGUACCUCGCAGUCUGUGGUCUCAAAACAGUCCUGCAAUGCCUCAGUGGCCACCUCAGACCACCUCUUAACAUACCUGAUGGUGGGGGGUUGUUUCUUCACCAUAGGUAUGUAAAUGGGCUGCAGUCUCACCAGGUUGUGAUCUGAGCAGCCCAGCGGGGGAGGGGGAGGAGGUGAUUGCAUCCUUGGUGUUUGCAUACCGUAAGUCCAAAGUUUCAUUGUCUCUUGUUGGGCAGUUUACAUACUGGCUGAAGGUAGGAAGAGUGGAGGAGAGUGAUGCAUGAUUAAAGUCUCCAGAGAUGAUGAUCAGAGACUGAGGGUGUGAUGUUUGUAGCUUAGACACUUCACUAUGGAGGAGUUCACAGGCUGCAGCAGCAUCAGCCAAGGGGGGGAUGUAAACAGUUAAUGCGAUGACGUGCGAAAACUCCCUCGGCAGGUAAUAUGGCCGCAAACUCACAGCCAGCAGCUCAAUGUCCUUAGAGCAGCGCUGCUCUUUAACACUGACGUGCCCAGCAUUACACCAUCUCUCAUUCACAUACACCGCUGUCCCGCCUCCUUUCUUCUUAUGAUGUAUCCAAUGUGAAGCGCUUUGAGGGUCUCUAAUAAAGCGCUAUAUGAAAUCUGAUGCAUUAUUAUUAUUAUAAUUAAUGUCCCCGAUUUGCCCGAUGCUGAACUCCAGCCCUGCAUCCUCUCCUUCUCCUGUGGAGCUUGGCGGGGAUGUCCAGUCUGUCCAACGAAGGUGGCCAGGCUUGGCGCAGUUGUUCACGGCUGUAAACAAUGGGGCCGCUGAACGGGUAGCUGGACGCGGACUUAAAAACUCCGAAAAGUAAAAGAAAACAAAGUGCCAGAGUCAUGAAAUGCACAUCCAUGGUUGGAAUAUGCAAGACACAACACUGCUAAGUAAAAAAAAAGACAAAUAAGGUGCAAAAGACAACAAUGAGAAGGCAAAAACGUAAAGUCUGUGAGGAGCUGCUGUGACUUGCUCCCACUCUCAGGGCGCUCAAUCACUUAAACAUGAUAAAAGACUUACCAGUGGUUGUCUCCCUCGAUGACUUGCUGGUCACUGGGAACUCAGAGGAAACUCUUCUCAGCAACCUGCAGAUGGUUCUGCAACAACUGCAGGAAAAUGGGCUACGUGUGAAAUGUUCAAAGUGUGAAUUUGGUAAGACCAUAAUCGAGCACUUGGGUCAUAUACUGGAUAAAUAUGGCGUCCAUCCUGCCAAGGACAAAGUGAGAGCAUUUUACUUUAGUGACUGACCAUCGCCCUCUUGUGGCACUGUUUUGAGAACACAAAGGUCUACCUACACAUGCUGCUGCAUGGAUUCAGCAGUGGGCAAUUACAUUGUCAGCUUAUGACUACCACAUUGUACAUCGCAAGUCAAAAGAGCACGGCCAUGCAGAUGGACUUUCCUGACGCCCCCUGCCUGAUACCAGCGACAAAGGAACAUCUGAAACCACAGCACCAGUGAAUGUGCUGUUAGAAGGGCAUCUUCGAGAGGCUCCCCCAAAUGCUAUACAAGUUGCUAGGGCAACACACACAGACAACGUGCUGGCCAGAGUGUACAGGUAUGUCAUGGAAGGCUGGCCCAACACUUAAAAGUAUUUUUCACAUAGAGAAGCGAGCUUUCCACGGAUCAAGGCUGUGUCCUGUGGGGGACCAGGGUCAUCAUACCUUCAAAGUUGAUAGGUGAAGUGUGGAAGGAGGUCCACUCGGGGCACCAAGGUAAUGUAAAAACCAAAGCCUUAAAUGUGUAUGGAGGCCUAACCUUGACAUGGAGGUUGAGAAGAUCUGCAGGAAAUGCUAAACUUUCCAGCUGGACCAAAAAUUCCACAACAUGCCCCACUACAACUUAGAAUCUGUCUGUCUGUCUGUCUGUCUACAUCCAUGGGAAUUUCCAGGAGAGCACUGGAAAAGACUGCACAUUGACAUUGCUGGACCUUUUCUGAAUAACAUGUUCAUGAAAGUGGUUGACGCCCAUUCUAAAUGGUUGGAAGUGUGUCAUAUGUCACAAAUCACUCUUCGGAGCACUGUGGGGGGACACCACAAAUGGAUUCCAGAAAAAGUGGUGAGACAGACUGGACUGAGGGACUCAGACACAGUGCACCAAAGACAUGGAGAUUAGUUGCGGACUCAGGCCAUGGCUGUGCCAGACUCUGACAUCUUUAAAGCCUUACAUGGACAGGAUGAUGACAAAGACUGAAGUGGAGAAAAAGAAACUAUGGACUCAACCAGGGUGUUACCAGAGGUGAUUGAGUCUGAACCAUUUGCCUUGAGGCACUCACAGCAUGAGAUUCAACCAACCAUAAGAUACAGGACAAAGGGGGUGGACUGUAGACCCACUGGUUCAAUCUUGAAUUGAGUUUUGUUAGAAAAAAUAAAAAUGGUAUGCAGACCAAAUCAUCCUCACAUAACAACGUGUUGGGGAUUGAUAAUAUUUGUGUGUUUUCAAAACAAUUUGGUUCUGCUGGAAGGAAGAUAUUGUGUUAAAUUUAUUUUUGGUGUAUUGGGUUUACAAUGUUAUUCUACAGGUAGUGUUAAACAUAGUUGCUCUUAGUAUAACUUGCCAAACUGACGGAAAACAGAGCUCAGCUAGCUUACCGUAUAUCAGCUGAGCUAGUGAGCGUUGGCUCUUUUUACAGACAUUGGAGUUAGUCACGGUCUCUGUGGCAGGCCACCACAAGCCGGACAGCCUUGGCUCAGGGCUGUGGCAGAGGCAGAAACCAGGAAGAGAUCAAUGAAGAGAUCAGGGUCCCUGUGCUUUGGCACUGGAGGAUCUUACCCGUGUGGAGAGCAUCAAGCUCAGAGACUGGCAGAUGAUAAGGUAUGCAUGACUAAUGUGAUUGUUUCAGACAUAAAAUGAAGUAGAUUUUAAAAAUUAAAUCAAAUUUCUACAUAUAAGAUUUUAGUGAGUUUUCUGAUUUUGUGGAUGGACAGGCUGGCUAGAAGGGUCUGGGACAACAUUGGAGCUACUGCAGACUGCCCUGACCCUGGAGAAGGCAACAAGUUGUCCUGAUUUGCCACAUUUAGACAGUUUGUGAUCUGUCAAUAUGGAGCAUAGGGGUUCAGAAUAGUGAUUACCAGUUCUUAUGUCUGAAGAAUAUCAAAGUGCUUUUUCAAAAUGCUAUUUAUUUUUAUGUAAAUGCUGUUUUAUACAUGUGUUUUUUCAUUAUACUAUUGUUGUUAUAAAAUUGUUUUCUAAAAAAUCGGAAAAGCCACUCGUGUUUCAUUACCAAUCACAUCACUAAAAACUGCACAACUUCACAUCAGUGUCAGCAGUAGUAAUGGUGCAUAAAAGAUGAAACACGAGAUGAAAUAUAACAUUCAUUUAUUGAAAAAUUAGCGUCCAAACAAUAAGUCCUCUUGGUCAGAUGUACAUCUUGUGGGGCCUUUAUGGUGUACAAACUCCUUGCUCUAGACUCUCUGUUAUACAGACUACCAGCAAACACAAUGUUUGCAGGACCUCCACAACUAAAAUAAAGUGACAUACUCCAGGACCCGAGGUAAACAGUUUAGCGGCACAACAACAUGCAGCAGGUCUUGUUUCACAAUAAACACUUCUGUUCAGACACUUGAUUUACUUUGUUAAAAUGGGGCCCUGUCAAAGUAAAUAUAAAUAGCACCAGUGCUAAUGUAGCAGCAUGCUAACAGGCUACCUAUGAACGCAAUGCUUUUGGCUACUCUGCGACUAAAACGCAACACAUUGCAGGACACAAGGUAAAAUAAACUUGGCCGUUUACCUGUCCAGCAGAAAGGUUACAGGGUCUGUAAGAUCUUGAAGCAUUACCCAUCGAUCAAGCGUCACUGAUGUAGACCCAGCUUUUCCCCUCUUGUCCGCGUGGUCUACCUCCUUUGUGCCCGUUGUUCCGCCAGAGUUUCUGGUAUUUACUUAGUUUUCUUGCUUGUGUAGGCACGUGAUGUCAAAAGAGGAUUCAAACAUUUUUCCGUACUUUCUAGCUGGUUUCUACUGUCUGUUAUAACUUUGUUUGGGCUCGUGCACGCUAUUCGAGGACAUGGAGCAUGCCUCACAACCGAUCAGCAUUAAGGAGGAGCAUCUGCCUCACAGCCAACCAGGCUGGAGGUGCAGAACGGCUUUGUUUACAGUCAGAAUGAGCAGAUUGCUGUUAGGUUUUAAAAUGUUGACUACACAGGCAUAAGAGAACACAGCAAUACUGUGAUAUUCCCAAAUGUCAUCAAUAACUAAUAGCUACUUACUGAUAAUAAAAGCUUUUUUGUAUAUACACCACAAAAAAAGAUGGAUCUAUAACAGAUACCUGCCUAUCCCACCUUUAAGUGUAAUAAACUUAUUUACCAGAGUCUCCCUCAUUAACACACCUGUCUGACCAAAACAGCCCUUCUCAUCCUCACCAAUUUACAGCUUUCACAGCAGCUCAUUACACCACAGCACUGUUUAAUGGAGAUCUGACAUAAAAGAAUGGAGGAAAAAAUGUCUUACCUUCACUCUGGUAUCCAAAACAGUCAGCAUCAGUCAUCUAGCUCCAACAGGUUAACACUUCCGGGACCUUUAGAUUUUCCUCCCUCUAAAGUCCCUCGUGGCUGUUAAAAGCCACUUUUUCUGUCGGCUGUAAAAUCUUAUUGGAUUAAUAUUUUUUUCUGAUUUUUUUUCACAAAUUUCUUAUUUUACUUCUGCCCUGUUCGAAACUAGCAAAUGUUUCAUUGAAAACAAAUUUUUUUUUAACCCUUUAAGUGCCAAUUUAAGACAAAAAGUCACAAAUUUAGCAAAAAUUGAAGGAAAAUGACCCUUUUUUUUUAUAAGGCAUGAUCAGAAACUGGUAAUCUCUUGCAGGGUAUUAAAGUCUUGAAUAUGUCAGAGAUUAGUAAUAUAAUUUACUUAUAUGCAUUUUCAGUUUUUCUGUAACAUCAGAUUUAAUGAAAAACUGCCUUUGGCGCCUCCCAGUGGCCAAAACCACUAUUUCUACUGUAAAAUCAUAUUGGAUUAAUAUUUUUUUCAGAUUUUUUUUAAUACAUUUCUUAUUUUACUUCUGCCCUGUUCAAAACUAGCAAAUGUUUCAUUGAAAAUAAAAAUUUUAACCCUUUAAGGGCCAAUUUAAGACAUAAAGUCACUUAAAAAGCAAAAAAAUGGAAGGAAAAUGAAGGAAAAUGACCCAUUUUUUAAAUAAAACAUGAUCAAAAACUGGUAAUCUCUUGCAGGGUAUUAAAGUCUUGAAUAUGUCAGAGAUUAGUAAUAUAAUUUACUUAUAUGCAUUUUCAGUUUUUCUGUAGCAUCAGAUUUGAUGAAAAACUGCCUUUGGCGCCUCCCAGUGGCCAAAGCUACUUUGUCUGCUGUAAAAUCAUAUUGGAUUAAUAUUUUUUUCAGAUUUUUUUUCAUACAUUUCUUAUUUUACUUCUGCCCUGUUCAAAACUAUCAAAUGUUUCAUUAAAAAAAUUUUUUUUAACCCUUUAACGGCCAAUUUAAGACAUAAAGUCUCUUAUGAAGCAAAAAAAUGGAAGGAAAAUGACCUCUUUGCUUCAUAAGAGACUUUAUGUCUUAAAUUGGCCCUUAAAGGGUUAAGUUUUUUAUUUUCAAAGAAACGUUUGCUAGUUUUGAACAGGGUAGAAGUAAAAUAAGAGAUGUAUGAAAAAAAAUCAGAAAAAAAUAUUAAUCCAAAAUGAUUUUACAGCAGACAAAGUAGUUUUGGCCACUGGGAGGCGCCAAAGGCAGUUUUUCAUUAAAUCUGAUGCUACAGAAAAACUGAAAAUGCAUAUAAGUAAAUUAUAUUACUAAUCUCUGACAUAUUCAAGACUUUAAUACCCUGCAAGAGAUUACCAGUUUCUGAUCAUGUUUUAUUAAAAAAAUGGGUCAUUUUCCUUCAAUUUUUGCUAAAUUUGUGACUUUUUGUCUUAAAUUGGCACUUAAAGGGUUAAAAAAAAAAUUUUUAAUGAAACAUUUGCUAGUUUCGAACAGGGCAGAAGUAAAAUAAGAGAUUUGUGAAAAAAAAUCAGAAAAAAAUAUUAAUCCAAUAUGAUUUUACAGCCGACAAAACAAGUGGCUUUCAACAGCCACGAGGGACUUUAAAGGGAGUUUUUCUGUCCUGGCUUUAUUAUUGACCUGGUGAAAAUUUUGAAUCCAUGUUUUCAAAUAAAAUGUCAAAUUAAGCUUAGAAAAAAAAAUUCAUCAAAUUUGCUGCAGUAAAAAAAAAGUUAUAUCCAAAUUAGUCUCUAGUUCUAUCAUAAAUUGGCUGUCAAAAGCCCGAAGGUUCCGGAAGGGUUUUAAUAACCCACCUGUAUUAUUCCUGUUUACAUCCCGUUCCUCACGGUCAGUGUUUCAUCCAUUUGCAUUGUGUGCAAAAACAAAAAAGUUUUUAGUGCUUUUUCUGUUCGGCAGGCUUAGGCGUUUACUCCUGGUCUUCUUCAACUGGGACAUGGACCACUUCAAGGUUUGGACACAAUUGCUGCGUCCGAAUUGCCCGCUCGGAUACUACAUGCUACUGCUACAUACUACUGCUAGAUCCUACUCCUACAUACUAAGCACGUUGGCCCAAUUCGGACACACUAAACGAGCGGUGGGGAAAGACGACCCCCGCAGGCAGAGAGUAGGUACUGCGCCCGUUUUAGACUCUGAAUGGUAAUUGUGCAAGUGAUGGAUGCUGCUGUAUUAUAUUCCUGCACCGCUUUAGAAAGUCACAAAGUAGCUUUUCCAUGACUUUUAGCCUUCAUUCAUUCACGUGGUGAUCGUUUGUUCAAUGAGAUCUGCCUGAUUACUGCAGCUGUGCAGUUUAAUGAUGGAAUAAGUGAGCUUCACCUCCAUGAUGUCUCCACAUAUUUGCUCAUAAAAUGAUUACUUGGGCAAAUAUGACACCAUGACAUGACAAAGGGAUACAACCGCACAUUUUUAGGACAGUGUGUGAAGUUACAUUAAAUCUACAACUGUACUGCUGUGGUCCUGCCUGCUGCUGCUGCUGCUGCUGCUCCGACAUGGUGCGCGCUGCUGUGGCCAGCCGGCGUUCGCGACACAUUUAAAUAGGCAGAGCAGCUGGUGGCGCUAGCAUCACAUGCGCUUCUACAACUUCUACAGGACGAAGAAGAAGCCCACAGUGCAUUUUGGGUCAGUAGCAUGCCCGUAAGAUGCACCGAGACCAACCUACAAUGUGGGCGUGUCUAGUAUCUGAAGUAGUAUCUGAAGUAGCAUGCUACUUGCUCCGGUGGCCAAUUCGGACAUGCUAGAUACUACUUCGACUACUACUUCGACUACUACUUAGCAAUUCGGACGCAGCUAAUGAGGUAGUCAUGGCCUGUCUGGACCUGUGGUCUGGACUUGGUACCAAGUCCAGGCACCAGGGGCCUUAUGUAUCAACACUUGUGUGGAACUCAUACCAGAAACGUGCCCACGCAAGGUCCGUCACGCUGAAAAAAAUCCGUAUGUAUCAAUGUGUGCGGGCGCCGAAAUCCACGUGUGUUUCCUUGAUAAAUCCCAAUCAGCGUGGAAUUGAGCGCAGAUGUCCGAGUGACUGGGCCCGUCCCCGUUACGCCCUUCUAUAAAUAUGCAGAUUUAUUUAAAUAGGGUCUCCCUGUCCUCGCACGCAGACAAAAUGACAAGAAAAACUAAAUUUACGGCGUGCAAGGUGGAGGUGCUGGUGGCGGAGGUGGAGGAGUGACAGCGUGUUUUGUUUGGCAGCCUGUCCAACGGCGUCAGUGCAAAACAAAAACGCUUGGAGUGGGAGAAAGUUUGCGAGAGGGUGAACGCAGUGGGUUCCGAGACACGCAC